rnacentral:tRNA from 1 species
UAAAAGGAAGUGCAGUGGAUGCACAAAGAGUUUUGAUCUCUUUAAUUUGGGUUCAAAUCCCUUCUUUUUAA